CCCUUAGAUGUUCUGGGCCGCACGCGCGCUACAAUGAUGCAUUCAACGAGUUUAUAACCUUGGUUGAAAAGCCUGGGUAAUCUUUUGAACUUUCGUCGUGAUGGGGCUAGACCCUUGCAAUUAUUGGUCUCCAACGAGGAAUUCCUAGUAAACGCAAGUCAUCAGCUUGCAUUGAUUACGUCCCUGCCCUUUGUACACACCGCCCGUCGCACCUACCGAUUGAAUGGUCCGGUGAAAUCUUCGGAUUGAGACUUUGAUUUGUUUACUCAAAACGCUGUUUCAAGAAGUUGAUUAAACCUUACCAUUUAGAGGAAGGUGAAGUCGUAACA
rnacentral:rRNA from 1 species